rnacentral:tRNA from 1 species
GGAGAGAUGGCAGAGUGGUCGAAUGCGGCGGUCUUGAAAACCGCAGGUCCGCAAGGACUCAGGGGUUCGAAUCCCCUUCUCUCCUCCA